rnacentral:tRNA from 1 species
GAGCCAUUAGCUCAGCCUGGUAGAGCACCUGACUUUUAAUCAGGGUGUCCCGCGUUCAAGUCGCGGAUGGCUCACCA